AGAAAGGCGCACCGGGGAAACCACCGAGCGUGCUCAAUCCAGGGAUCGUCGUUCCUGUCCCAGUUCCUCAGGCCCCCACCGCAGAAAAAACAACGAGCAUAGUCGCCAUAUCCUGCCAAAUUAAAGUGAAAAUAAUCCACGCCUGUCCCCUUCUGGUGGUGUUUUUGCUGCGUGACCUGCCUGAUCUUUCUCUUGUUAAGCACCAAUCCGAAAUCGCUGAUGCGAUUCAACUCUUUUAACCAAUGAGAAUCUAGGUCACCAUUUAGCACGCGGUAAAGAUGUAGCGUCAAGAAAGUCACGUCCUACCAAAAGUCCAAGGCAAACAGAGAUUGGUACUAAACAAUAUGAAAUCAAUUAAAAUAAUUUUUGCGAAAGGUAGUCACUAUACGUUUUAUUUCUUUCCAUAUAAGGUAGUGGGCGGUUCUUCAUUGGGCAUUCGUUUUCGAAAACAGCACAGCGUUCAGAUGACAAUUUCCGGUAAAACAGCAGUCAAUUUGAAUCGAGAAUUGUGACAUUUCAAAGUGUUCAGUUUACAAUUUUUUUAACGUAUUUUUACAGUGUUAAGGACUUACGAGUUAUCAGUGAGGUUAGUUGUAUUCAAUAUUAGCUUUAAAUUUACGCGUUUAUGUAAUCCUAAAAUCGUUUUGAACCGAUUCUGCAAUUUUCUGCUACAUUACGGGUAUACGUGGUAACUGGUGAGG